AAGACUUUAGUGCUGAGGAAGAAGACUGACUUUGUGAAGCUAAGGAGCAAACGCAACAAUGGCCGAUCCUGUUAUUGGUGCUACUGUUCAAGUUUUGCUUGAGAAGCUGCUUUCUCUCUCUAUUGAGGAGGUCAAAACAUUAAGGAACUGCAAGAAAAAUCUCUCAAAGCUGACAAAACAUGUAACCAUGAUACAAGCUUACACGCAUGAUGCUGAAACACGACAAGUCGAAG
rnacentral:misc_RNA from 1 species